rnacentral:rRNA from 1 species
UACGUAGGGUGCAAGCGUUAAUCGGAAUUACUGGCGUAAAGCGUGCGCAGGCGGCUUUGCAAGACAGAUGUGAAAUCCCCGGGCUUAACCUGGGAACUGCAUUUGUGACUGCAUGGCUAGAGUGCGGCAGAGGGGAUGGAAUUCCGGCGGUGUAGCAGUGAAAUGCGUAGAUAUGCGGAGGAACACCGAUGGCGAAGGCAAUCCCCUGGGCCUGCACUGACGCUCAUGCACGAAAGCGUGGGGAGCAAACAGG